ensembl:lncRNA
UAUUUCCUCAGUGAAUGGCAGUGCUGCAGGAUGAGUAAUGCCCUUAACAUUUUAUACGGAGCUUCGCAGUCUGUAUGACGGGGCUGUAGUCUGGGUCACUAUUCCUCCCUUCCUAUUACUCACAGAUAAACUGACUAAUUCACACAUUUUUGGCCAACAGUUUUCAAAGUUGGCUGCCUAAAAGAAAGCAUCUUUAACGAGAGCGGCUGGGUUUCAGAAGCUGCUGAGGAGCCACUGAUGCCAAGCAGAGCCCAAUUUACAAUCACUGAGCCAAGUUUUUCUUUAUAACUGCAAACCCUGAGAAAUCUCAAUGGGAAAAGAAAUCUGGAUGUUUCAAAACGUACUUCUUUUCAUUCUGCAUGUAUGGCAUGGAUUGAAUAGCAGUCAUCCAGAAAGCAGAAAUACCAGUGUCAGAGUCAGAACGCUUAUACAGGGUAGAGAUUUGCUGUUCCAUUUCACUCUUCUAUCCUGGUGUGACUUUGUGACCUCAAGAAAUCCCUUUCUAUCAUGAAAGCUGUCUCCAAGAAUUGGCACCUUUGUGAUUACAUCUCAUUUCUGGUGCUGGAGAGCUGCAUCCAGGAGCUCAAGCUGUGAAGUGGUGAACAAAGCCCUCUGCUAUGUUGUGCUUCUUCACAUAGAUGAAAAUGGACACAAAGAAGCUGGAUUGUGUCUUAAGCUUUCACAUCUUUGCCAGCGAGGAGCAAAUCAGUUCGGUCCCUAAAACUUCACAGGAGCAAUGGUUUCAAAGCAAUC